ACAGCAACAACAGUUCCUACCAGCACUGAGCCACCUAGCCAUGGUGAACCCUGCCGCCUACUUGCAACAACAACUGCUUGCAUCCAACGCACUUGCUCUGGCAAACGUAGUUGCAAACCAGCAACAACAAUAGCUGCAACUAUUUCUGCCAGCGCUCAGUCAACUAGCCAUGGUGAACCCUGCCGCCUACCUACAACAGCAACAACUGCUUUCAUCUAGCCCGCUUGCUGUGGCCAAUGCACCUACAUACCUACAACAACAAUUGUUGCAACAUAUUGUACCAGCUCUGACUCAGCUAGUUGUGGCAAACCCUGCUGCCUACUUGCAACAGCUGCUUCCAUUCAACCAACUGACUGUGUCGAACUCUGCUGCGUACCUACAACAGCGACAACAGUUACUUAAUCCACUUGCAGUGGCUAACCCAUUGGUCGCUGCCUUCCUACAUGUCACACCCGGUUUUAAAAAGGCAAACCGAAUGCGAACCAUGUACGUGCCAGGAUCAGUUAUUCACGUACACAGCAGUUACAUAAUAUGGACAUCAUCACACAGUGCUCAAAAUAGUAUUAAUAAGGGAAAUAGUAGAUUACAUCAUACGUCUGAGACGUCCAUAUAGUUCUUACAAUAAAUCAAAGUGCGGAAAAGAAACGUAGAUAACGCGGCCUUCACAGGCAGCCGACUGGGGGUUGCCGCUAACCCACACCUAGAACUCGUCGUAAUCUUGGAACUCCUGGAAGUCUCCUUCCACAGCUUCAUCUUCGCCUGAGCAGUGGUUGCAAUGCUGACAACCUGGGGGGGGGGGGGUUUGGUGUGUAGAGCAAGGGUGAGUACACAUCAACAUACUCAGCAAGUAUCCUGUUUGGCUGUAGUGGACUAGCUUUAUGUGGGGAUAAGUCAAGCAGUUGCUUUUAGUUGGUCAGGUUAUUACUUACUAGUAGAAAGCCAAGUUUUAGCAUUAACCCAAGUUAUUAACCCAAUGUAUCCUUUCCAAACGGAAAGAAUACCACUUACCAGCACCAUAACCAUAACCAGAACCAUCAAUCUCAUAACCACCUGUACCACAAUGUCUCUGAUCAAGUACCACUAAUCAUUGGAGCUCCCUUGGCCGCUCAUAACCGCGAGCACGGCUGAUAUAUCAGUUUCAUAACACUCUGCAGAGGUUGUGCACUUUACCCACAAGCCGUGAUUCCCAUUCUGCCCGGAGAUCAUGACUCUCCAUUGAUCACUACCAAGGUGAUCCAGCAGGGCAUCACUACGAAGCCUUUACAAAGAUUCCCCGGGACUGCAGCCACCCGUUAGGUUUCCUAAAUGCACCGCACUCCUCCCCAAGGGGCGAACCCAAACUUGGCAGAGCGAGCCGCAUACACCGAGCCCCAUUGACGGCACGACGGCUAAGUGAACUACACCCCGGAUCCUCUAAUUAUUCAGCUAAGGGCACCCCAUUCCACCCUCAUGGUUGCACUGUUUUCCCGGGCGGUCAUCCAUAGAACAGGUCCUUACGGAGAGGCACUCGAGAAACCGCUCGAGUCCCCUUGAAAACCACAAGUAUAAUCAUAAAGAAGAACGGGAAAACAGCGUAUCAUAGAUAAUCACAUCAUGUUCAUUGAUUAGAGUUGAGCAAUAGCAUCAGACUAAGUAGUAAUAAUCCGACCCAAAUAGGUAAACAAGGACAUGGAUAACAAAAGCUAGUCAAUCCUUAGGUAUAAAUGUGUAAUGCGGGAGGUGAAUUAAAGAAUGAAUAGGACAUAGAUAGGUCAAAGGACACUUGCCUCCACCAAACGACUGCUGCUCAGGGGCUUCUCCUGCGAAUUCCUCGGGCUCUUCGACUGGAUCGUUCUCUAUGCGAGCGCAAACAUACAUACAUACAUCCACAUAUUUAAUACAAAAGAACAGUACACCAUACAAGAUAACAAAUAAAGCGAAUAUGCAUCAAGUAUGACAUUCGAUAACGCAUUUGUUAUGGUCAGAAAGAAACGGGAAAGGUCUCGCAGGGGGGGUUAAAUCUUAUGCACUAACGAUCAAUUACAAUUGGUUUUUAACAAAAUAAUUCUGCUACAUAUACACUAAUGGAAACCUAAUCACUUUUAGUUGAUCAACAUUGCACAGGGUAAACAAUUAACUACGUGCGUCAAUAGCAUAACGGAAUUUUAAAUUAAACUUCCUAUUUUCCCAUAGCAUGAACAGUGAUUAGCCUACUUAAAAUACAGUAAUUAUGAUCACAGAAAGUAAAUAAAAUAAAAUAAAAAAAAAUAAAAAAAAAAACAGAGGGGGGGGCGGUUGAACCGGCCCUAGGGCGGUUGAACCGGCCCUAGGCGGGGCGCGGGCGCGGGCGGCGCAGGGGGCGGCCGAACCGGGGGGCGGGGGGCGGCGCAGGGGGCGGCCGAGCCGGGGGGCGGGGCGGCCGAACCGGCGGGGCAGGGGGGCGGGUAGGGGGCGGCCGAGCCGGGGGGCGGGGCGGCCGAACCGGCGGGCAGGGAGGCGGCCGAACCGGCCAUGGGGAGAGGGGAUGGGGGAGGGAGGAGAGGGGGAGGGGGAAGCUCACCGGCGACGGGGACGGGGCGGCCGAGCGGGGCGGCCGAACGGCGACGGGGAGGGGCGGCGGCCUAGGCAGGGGCGGCGGCUAGGGCAGGGGGCGGGUAGGGGGCGGCGGCUUGGGUGGGGAGGGAGAAAAUGAGGGGGGAGAGGGAGAGGGUUAGGGGAUAAGGGAAAGAGGGGGGGGGCGGCUGGGCCUACUAGGCCCAAGAGGGGGGCGCCAGGGGGCGGCUGGGCCGGCCGGGGUCGGCCCACGGCGCGGGAGAGAGAGAAAAAAAAGGAGAGAGAAAGAGAGAGAGAAAAGAGAAAGAAAAGAGAAAGAAAACAUUUUCGAAAUCCGAUCUUUCUACAUGAAUGCAUUUGCACUUUCAAAGCAAUCAAAAGAAAUGCAAGGUUCGGCAUGGUGCAUCAAACAACAUAAAGUAUUUAGGGUUUUUAUACAUACGGGAAUUCCAAACCGAAUCCCGCUAGAACUUUGGAAAAGGUCAAGGUUUAGCGAGGGAAAAAGAAAAAGAAAAGGUAACGCCCGAAUUUUGGCGAGUAAAGAAAAGAAAAAAAAUUCAACUGCAAAAAUUCGGGGCGUUACAAACCUAUCCCCCUUAAAAGAAUCUCGCCCUCGAGAUUCAGGGCUGGCUAGCAAAGAGCUCCGGGUACUUGGCCUUCAGAUCAUCUUCACGCUCCCAGGUUGCUUCUUCCUCAGAGUGGUGACUCCAUCUGACUUUGCACAUUCUGACGGUCUUCCUUCGGGUGACUCUGUCUGCAAUCUCAAGGAUCUGAGCUGGCUUCUCAACGUAGGUCAAGUCCUCCUGGACUUCCAGACCUUCCACUGGCAACUGCUCUUCCGGCACACGCAAGCACUUCUUCAACUGAGACACAUGAAAGACAUCAUGCACAGCAGACAAAUUCUCUGGCAGACUGAGCUGAUAGGCCACUUCUCCACGUCUUGCAAGAAUCUGAUACGGACCAAUGUAGCGGGGUGCUAGCUUGCCUUUCACUCCGAAUCUUCUGACUCCUCUGAUCGGUGACACUUUCAGAUAGACAAAGUCUCCGACUUCGAAACUCAGCUCUCUUCUUCUUGUGUCUGCAUAGCUUCGCUGCCUUGAUUGCGCUAUCUUCAGAUUCUCUCGGACCAUCUUGACGUUCUCUUCGGCUUCGAGCAAAAUGUCUGGCCCAAACACUUGCUUUUCCCCAGGCUGAUCCCAUUGCAACGGAGUUCUGCAACUCCUUCCAUACAGCGCUUGAAAUGGUGACAUCUUCAAACUGGCCUGGUAACUGUUGUUAUAGGAAAACUCCGCAUAAGGCAAUCGCUUGUCCCAUCCGGACUGAUCUUGCAACGCACAUGCUCUCAACAUAUCUUCAAGAAUUUGAUUGGUUCUUUCGGUCUGGCCAUCUGUCUGCGGGUGGUAAGCUGAACUGAAAUUCAGAUGCGUGCCCAAGGCUUCAUGCAACUGCUGCCAGAAAUGAGAGGUGAACUGCGUUCCUCUGUCUGACACUAUCUUCUUUGGCACACCAUGAAGACAAACGAUCCGAGACAUAUACAAUUCUGCCAAUACUGCACUGUUGUAGUUGGUCUUGACAGGUAUGAAGUGGGCUGACUUGGUCAAGCGGUCCACUACUACCCAAAUGGAAUCGUAGCCGGCUCGAGUGCGAGGCAAUCCGACUAUGAAAUCCAUACCAAUUUCAUCCCAUUUCCACUGAGGGAUCUGCAACGGUUGCAACAAUCCAGCUGGUCUCUGGUGUUCUGCCUUAAUUCUUCGACAACUAUCGCACAUAGCCACAUGCUCUGCGAUUUCCCUUUUCAUUCCGUACCACCAGAAUUUCUUCUUCAGAUCCUGAUACAUCUUCUCACUGCCAGGGUGAAUCGAAUAGGCUGUCUCAUGAGCUUCCUUGAGAAUCAACUCCCGAAUAGACUGGACAUUGGGAACACACAAGCGGUCUUUGAACCAUACCACACCUUCUGCAUCUUCUCGAAAGUCUUUGCCUCUGCCAUCUAGAAUCAAUCGCCGAAUCUCACUGAUCUUCUCAUCAUUUUUCUGCGCUUCUUUGAUUUCGCGCUCCAAGGUAGGUUCCAAUUCAACUGUGACUCCUCGAGAAUUGUUUAGAAAUCCGAGACUCAACCUGUCAAACUCCUUGGCCAACUCAUAAGGCAUCGGACGAGCGACCAUCAGAUUGACUUGACUCUUUCUGCUCAAAGCAUCUGCCACUACGUUUGCUUUGCCUGGAUGGUAAUGAAUCUCCAACUCAUAGUCUUUGAUCAAUUCUAACCAUCUUCGUUGCCUCAUGUUCAAUUCUGAUUGAGUGAAUAUGUACUUCAGACUCUUGUGGUCUGUGUAAACAUCGCAUUUCUGUCCAUACAGAUAGUGCCUCCAUGUCUUCAGUGCGUGAACCACUGCUGCCAACUCUAGAUCAUGGAUGGGGUAGUUCUUCUCAUGAACCUUCAGCUGUCGGGACGAGUAAGCCACAACUCUUCCCUCUUGCAUCAACACACAUCCCAAACCUGUGUAACAAGCAUCACAAUACACCGAGAAGGGCUUGUGCACAUCAGGCAAGACUAGGACAGGCGCUGUUGUCAACUUCUCUUUCAGCGCUUCAAAGGCCUCUUGGCAUUUCUGGGUCCACUUGAACUCAACCUUGUUGCCUAGCAACGCUGUCAUUGGCUUCGCAAUCUUCGAAAACCCUUUAAUGAAUCGCCGAUAAUAUCCGGCCAUUCCAAUGAAGCUCUUGAUUCCUCUAGCAUCUGUUGGUGCUUUCCAGUUCAGAAUGUCUGCCACUUUCUUCGGAUCCACAGUCAAUCCUUCUUUGUUGAUUAUGUGACCCAAGAACAGGACUUCACUGAUCCAGAACUCACACUUGCUCAACUUUGCAUACAACUGGUGCUCUCGCAAUCUCUGCAACACCAUCCUCAAAUGAUCUGCAUGCUCUUCUUCACUUUGAGAAUAAACCAGAAUGUCAUCAAUGAAUACCACCACGAACUUAUCAAGAUAAUCCAUGAAUACACUGUUCAUCAAGUUCAUAAAGAAUGCUGGCGCAUUGGUCAAACCAAAAGACAUCACUGUGAACUCAUAUAAACCAUACUUGGUAAUGAAUGCCGUCUUCGGAAUGUCCGAAGGUCGGAUCCUGAGCUGAUGAUAACCUGACCUCAGAUCGAUCUUGGAGAACACACUGGCUCCUCUCAACUGGUCGAACAGAUCUUCUAUUCUGGGCAAAGGAUACUUGUUCUUGAUCGUGACCUCAUUCAAAGCUCGAUAGUCGAUACACAUCCUCUUGGUACCAUCUUUCUUCUCCACAAACAAGACAGGGGCGGCCCAAGGCGAGGUGCUUGGCCGGAUGUAACCUUUUUCUGACAGCUCAUCAAUCUGCUUCUUAAGCUCAUCCAACUCUGGUCCAGAUAUUCUGUAAGCUCUCUUGAAGAUAGGGGCGGUUCCAGGAAGAAGCUCUAUGGCAAAUUCAACUUUCCGCUCUGGUGGCAUACCCGGUAAAUCCUUUGGAAACACAUCUGGGAAUUCGGACACAACCUUGAUACUCUCAAUCGGGUCUGCUUCACUGCUAUCGACAGUCAUCUGAUAACAACUUCCUUUCUUUGGCUCAGGCGGGACUAACUCAGUCACCACUUCCUCUCCUAGUGGGGACACUAACUUGAUUGUCCUUUUAUCACAACUGAUAACUGCCUGAUACUUAUCUAGCCAAUUCAUCCCUAGGAUGACAUCUAUUCCCUGAGUACCCAUUACUAUAAGGUUGGCGGGAAACGCUAUCCCCCUUAUUUUCACACUUAUAUUCAAACAAAUGCUAUCGGCUCGAAUUCUACCACCGGCUGAAUCAAUUUGAAUGGGGGUUGACAUGGUAGUUAUUGGAAGUUUAUGUGCUUCUACCCAUGAUGCAGUAAUGAAAGAAUGUGUUGCUCCAGUAUCAAAUAACACUUCUGCAAUAUGGGAGUCGACUGGGAACAUACCUACUGUCAUGCCGGGGGUCUCCUGAACUGCUUCAGCUUCCAAGUGGUUCAAUCUUCCAUGAUUAUAGCGCUGCUGAGAGCGAUUGCCUGCUCCAGGCUGAGACACAUUCUGCUUUGCUGGGGCAUUGGGGCCUGACUGCUGCUGGGCUGCCUUCUUUGGACAUUGCAUCACCCAAUGGCCUUGCUCUCCACAGUGGAAACAUGCCCUGUUUCCAACCUGAGCUGGUGCUGCCUGACUGUUCUGCUGAUUUGCUGGGGCAGGAAGACGAGGUGCUUGCUGAUUCUGCCUUUGAAACUGACCUCCUGACUGAUUGCUCUGACGGUUCUGGUACUGAUUCUGAGGGUACUGCCUUUGGAACUGCUGAUACUGCUGACGCUGCUGAUGCUGCUGAGGUGGACGCUGGUUCUGCCUGAACUGCUGAGGUUGAUUGCCUGAAAAGCGAGGGCGACUGCUGCUUCCAGACUGCGGUCCACUGAUCUUGCGCUUACGAUCUUCCAUCUCCUUGCGCUUCCUUUCUGUCAUGAUUGCUCUGUCAAUCAGGUGCUGGAAUGUCGGGAAGGUGUGAUUCAUCAGCUGAUACUGCAGAGGGUCAACCAAGCCUCUCAGGAAACGGUACUGUCGCUUGGCGUCGGUGUUGACAUCUUCAGGAGCAUAGCGAGACAAUUGCAGAAACUUGUCCCGGUACUCACUGACAGACAAUGGCCCUUGCUUAAGGGCCAGGAACUCCUCCUUCUUCACUGUCAUCAGACCUGCAGGCACAUGGUACUGACGAAAGCUACCCCUGAAUUCUUCCCAGGUGAUGGUGUCGGGGUUGGCAUGGGUGGCGAGGUAAGACUCCCACCAUGACUGGGCUGCUCCUCUCAACAGACGGGGACCAUACAGAACUUUCUCCCUGUCAUCGCACUGAGCGGUAUGCAACUCCCGCUCCACAGUGCGCAGCCAAUCUUCAGCAUCCAUGGGGUCAGAAGAGUGAGCGAACGUUGGUGGAUGACCUCUCAUGAAUUCAGCACGCUUAUCUCUAGGCAUCUGAGGCAUCUGAGGCUGGGGUGGUGCUUGCUGCUGUUGCUGCUGCUGCUGCUGCUGAAUGGCGGCCAAAGUCUGACCGAUGGCUUGAACUGCCUGAGUCUGCAUCAGAAACAUCUGCUCAAUCGACAUCGGGGGCGGGGGCGGCAGGUGCUGCUGCUGGGGCACCUCAUCCUGCGGAGCGGCUCGCUCCUGCUGAGCACGCCUUCCUCCUCUACGCCUGUUCUCUGACAUCUGCAGAACGCAACCACACAUCAGAACUGAUCUGGCAAAUCUUGCAGCAUAAGGAAAGAGAAUAGAAUUCUUCAACAGCACUGGGCAGGUGAGCAUCUUCACUGAUCUCCAACACAGACCACACAUCUUCUCAGAUAAAGAGGAAAGGAGAAUAAUGGGUUUCCCAACUAUAUAACUAACUUUAUUGACAUAGUAUGUAAACCAAAAUGCAGGGGAUACCCACACUCUGGUGACAAUCAUUACAAAGAUCCAAACCAAACAUAGUUCAUCAUGACAAGCAUAAAUGCACAGGAUAUAGCAAACUACCCUGUCUAACUAAAACUAACUAAGACCGAGACUAACGCUAAGACUGAAGCUUCUAUGUAUAUAUUUAUUUCGUAUUAAUUACAAGAUCCAGCUCUAACGAUCUAUGGUUCUAGAGUUAUCUUGGUCUUGCAGGCGGGAUUGCCAUAAGACUGGUGUCCACGCUGAGGUGAGCGGUACGGGUGCUGAGUCCCAACGGGAGCGGGGGAACCACCAUCCAGAAAACGACGUUCCGCGCGCUCAGCCCGCAGCAGGGCGAUCUCAGCACGAGCCCUACUCAGCUCGUCUAAUGCAUGGUCCAGCUCCGUGUUUAGCACGGCGGCUAGGUUGACUGUGCUGCUCAACCUAGGAUUGCCCUCACCGACAGGUGAGACAAUCACGCCUCCUGUGCUGCCAGAUGAACGGCGGGGGUAAUACUUCAGGUCAAGACCGUCAGCUGCCCCACCGAAAACCGAGCAGUAGUGCGAAAGCGCACGCCGUGCAGCAUCUUGCAUGGCUGCCUCAGCUGAGUCCCGCUCAGAGAUAGAAUAGUACUCUGAACAGGCCUCUGCACCCUGGAGACUGUCCUCCGGGCAGCGCACCAAGCAAGUCGCCUCCCAGCGGUCCGGGUAGACCCCGCGACUAUGCUGGUAGACCACACAGCGAUACUCGACGGACCAAGUAUGCCGGUCAAAUGCCCGACGUAGCAGGGUGUCGAGCGCAUCAUGGAAGUGACACCCGCGAGCAGCGUCGCGAGUGAUGGGUCGAGCAACCCAUCCUUCCGGCUCAGGAUUAGCAGAGAAGUCGGUGUCGUGGCUCGAGCUGUCGUCGCCAUCUCCGUCGUCUGGGUCUCCUCCAGCAGCUACUCCAGAAGCUGGGGCGCCCAGUGGUGGUGCAGGGGGCGGCUCCAGAGAAAGCACAGGGGAGCAGCUCCUCACAGACUCUAUCUCCUGGUGGAGCGAGAGGGAAGAGCUCCGCUGCUCCUGUCGUCGACGCUCCUGCUCCUCACGCAGGCGGUGGUGUAGUCUCUCCAAGUGGCUGGACUGUCCGGCCACGGGACGGCGAAGCGGACGCUCAGCAAGGCGGGAGGGUAAGAAGGGGAUGACUGACUUUCGUGCAGUGUGUCUAAGUCGAGCCAUCUACAAAAGACAUCGCAAGCAAAAGGGUGAGAACAGAAUUAAUAUGACCAGCAAGUAAUAAGUAAAUGAAGGAUCAGAAUAAAACAUAAUUUUCAGCAAGGUAUAAUAUGUAGUAGAACAUAGGUUUGGUCAGUAGGACCAACUUUUGAAGGGAUAUCAAAGUCAAGGAAGAGACAGAGGUCUAUAGUCCUUAGAACGACCAUUCUACUCUAGGUUAGCGGUCCUACAGUCAGCACGGCUCUGAUACCACUUAUGUCACACCCGGUUUUAAAAAGGCAAACCGAAUGCGAACCAUGUACGUGCCAGGAUCAGUUAUUCACGUACACAGCAGUUACAUAAUAUGGACAUCAUCACACAGUGCUCAAAAUAGUAUUAAUAAGGGAAAUAGUAGAUUACAUCAUACGUCUGAGACGUCCAUAUAGUUCUUACAAUAAAUCAAAGUGCGGAAAAGAAACGUAGAUAACGCGGCCUUCACAGGCAGCCGACUGGGGGUUGCCGCUAACCCACACCUAGAACUCGUCGUAAUCUUGGAACUCCUGGAAGUCUCCUUCCACAGCUUCAUCUUCGCCUGAGCAGUGGUUGCAAUGCUGACAACCUGGGGGGGGGGUUUGGUGUGUAGAGCAAGGGUGAGUACACAUCAACAUACUCAGCAAGUAUCCUGUUUGGCUGUAGUGGACUAGCUUUAUGUGGGGAUAAGUCAAGCAGUUGCUUUUAGUUGGUCAGGUUAUUACUUACUAGUAGAAAGCCAAGUUUUAGCAUUAACCCAAGUUAUUAACCCAAUGUAUCCUUUCCAAACGGAAAGAAUACCACUUACCAGCACCAUAACCAUAACCAGAACCAUCAAUCUCAUAACCACCUGUACCACAAUGUCUCUGAUCAAGUACCACUAAUCAUUGGAGCUCCCUUGGCCGCUCAUAACCGCGAGCACGGCUGAUAUAUCAGUUUCAUAACACUCUGCAGAGGUUGUGCACUUUACCCACAAGCCGUGAUUCCCAUUCUGCCCGGAGAUCAUGACUCUCCAUUGAUCACUACCAAGGUGAUCCAGCAGGGCAUCACUACGAAGCCUUUACAAAGAUUCCCCGGGACUGCAGCCACCCGUUAGGUUUCCUAAAUGCACCGCACUCCUCCCCAAGGGGCGAACCCAAACUUGGCAGAGCGAGCCGCAUACACCGAGCCCCAUUGACGGCACGACGGCUAAGUGAACUACACCCCGGAUCCUCUAAUUAUUCAGCUAAGGGCACCCCAUUCCACCCUCAUGGUUGCACUGUUUUCCCGGGCGGUCAUCCAUAGAACAGGUCCUUACGGAGAGGCACUCGAGAAACCGCUCGAGUCCCCUUGAAAACCACAAGUAUAAUCAUAAAGAAGAACGGGAAAACAGCGUAUCAUAGAUAAUCACAUCAUGUUCAUUGAUUAGAGUUGAGCAAUAGCAUCAGACUAAGUAGUAAUAAUCCGACCCAAAUAGGUAAACAAGGACAUGGAUAACAAAAGCUAGUCAAUCCUUAGGUAUAAAUGUGUAAUGCGGGAGGUGAAUUAAAGAAUGAAUAGGACAUAGAUAGGUCAAAGGACACUUGCCUCCACCAAACGACUGCUGCUCAGGGGCUUCUCCUGCGAAUUCCUCGGGCUCUUCGACUGGAUCGUUCUCUAUGCGAGCGCAAACAUACAUACAUACAUCCACAUAUUUAAUACAAAAGAACAGUACACCAUACAAGAUAACAAAUAAAGCGAAUAUGCAUCAAGUAUGACAUUCGAUAACGCAUUUGUUAUGGUCAGAAAGAAACGGGAAAGGUCUCGCAGGGGGGGUUAAAUCUUAUGCACUAACGAUCAAUUACAAUUGGUUUUUAACAAAAUAAUUCUGCUACAUAUACACUAAUGGAAACCUAAUCACUUUUAGUUGAUCAACAUUGCACAGGGUAAACAAUUAACUACGUGCGUCAAUAGCAUAACAGAAUUUUAAAUUAAACUUCCUAUUUUCCCAUAGCAUGAACAGUGAUUAGCCUACUUAAAAUACAGUAAUUAUGAUCACAGAAAGUAAAUAAAAUAAAAUAAAAAAAAAUAAAAAAAAAACAGAGGGGGGGGCGGUUGAACCGGCCCUAGGGCGGUUGAACCGGCCCUAGGCGGGGCGCGGGCGCGGGCGGCGCAGGGGGCGGCCGAACCGGGGGCGGGGGCGGCGCAGGGGGCGGCCGAGCCGGGGGGCGGGGCGGCCGAACCGGCGGGGCAGGGGGGCGGGUAGGGGGCGGCCGAGCCGGGGGGCGGGGCGGCCGAACCGGCGGGCAGGGAGGCGGCCGAACCGGCCAUGGGGAGAGGGGAUGGGGGAGGGAGGAGAGGGGGAGGGGGAAGCUCACCGGCGACGGGGACGGGGCGGCCGAGCGGGGCGGCCGAACGGCGACGGGGAGGGGCGGCGGCCUAGGCAGGGGCGGCGGCUAGGGCAGGGGGCGGGUAGGGGGCGGCGGCUUGGGUGGGGAGGGAGAAAAUGAGGGGGGAGAGGGAGAGGGUUAGGGGAUAAGGGAAAGAGGGGGGGGGCGGCUGGGCCUACUAGGCCCAAGAGGGGGGCGCCAGGGGGCGGCUGGGCCGGCCGGGGUCGGCCCACGGCGCGGGAGAGAGAGAAAAAAAAGGAGAGAGAAAGAGAGAGAGAAAAGAGAAAGAAAAGAGAAAGAAAACAUUUUCGAAAUCCGAUCUUUCUACAUGAAUGCAUUUGCACUUUCAAAGCAAUCAAAAGAAAUGCAAGGUUCGGCAUGGUGCAUCAAACAACAUAAAGUAUUUAGGGUUUUUAUACAUACGGGAAUUCCAAACCGAAUCCCGCUAGAACUUUGGAAAAGGUCAAGGUUUAGCGAGGGAAAAAGAAAAAGAAAAGGUAACGCCCGAAUUUUGGCGAGUAAAGAAAAGAAAAAAAAUUCAACUGCAAAAAUUCGGGGCGUUACACUACAGCAGCAACAAUUGUUGCCAUACAACCAGUUCUCUUUGAUGAACCCUGUCUUGUCGAGGCAGCAACCCAUCGUUGGAGGUGCCAUCUUUUAGAUAACAUAUGAGAUGUACUCGAUAAUGGUGCCCUCAUACCGGCAUGUGUUUCCUAGAAAUAACCAAUAUAUUGAUUGAGAUUUAUCUCGAUAUAUUUCUGAACUAUGUCCAUCAUAUAAAUAAUUGAAAACAUCAAAUCGUAAUUAUAAACUCAUGCUUGGCCAAUACAUAGACAAUGCGAUAUUACUUCAACAUCCCAAUGAUGUCCUAGCCCAACCUCUUGAAUGUUAGUGUUUUAAUGUGUGAGGGUAUAUUUAUAAGAUAGACGUGACUAUUUGCGCUUUUUCAGUACAUACACAUAUGGUAUGUUGAUUUGAUAUAGUGAUGGACACAUGCUUUGACCAUGAAUAUUCAAAUCAGUUGUACUUGCACGAAGCAAAACAUAAUAUAAGUUUAGGAGUACACUUAUAACUGUAUCCAAUCAUGCUCACACAAAUUCAUACCACAUUAUAAUUUUUUGGUAAAUAUUCCACACAUGUACUUUUUACAAGAACCCAAAUUUUGCAAACAAAUGUAGCAUUGUAGACAUGUAGAAUUCUUUGAAGCACGUGAACUUAACAACAUCAAGGUCAUUAAAUCAACUAGACCCUAUGAGUAACAAUUUCGAUAUUGCAAACACCAAAUUAUAGAACUUAUUGGCUGAAAAAUUAUGAGCAAUGUGAACUUUAAAUUAUUAUACCAUAAAUAUAUCAAAGAAUUUUUUUAGGAACGUAAAAAUUGCAUGGAAUGGGCUGCCCAACGUGCUAGCUCACUUCUAUGCUAGGCAGCAUUACCAAAGAUGGGAAUGUUGCUGAUGAACGCCAAACCCACUCAAAUAAUAUUUAUAUUUGGGUUGUUUAGUUGUAAAAGUGAAGACCCAAGAUAAAAGUACCAAUUGUCCAAUGACAUUCGAUUAUUUUGUUCGGGGAGCACUUGGUGCGUCAUUUGUACUCGUAUCUUAGUCCAAUAGAUUGUAUUUUCCUUCAAUGUGUAGAAUCCGACAAAGUGCAUGUUCUAAAAUUGUAAAUCUAACUAAAUUAGAAAGCUUGUUACUAAUUUGAUGGUUUAUUAGGUGUAGCUCAUAAAACUAGAACCAACAUAGCCUGCACUCACAUGUCAUAGAAAAUAGGAGUAUCCAAGCACAAUUUGUGUGAGCAUCCAUGACACAAAUUAUAUAUAGAGUGAUAUAAUUAAUUCCUUCAAAAUAAAAAAAGGAAAAAAUAAAGUGUUUUUUGAUACUGCAGGAUAUCUCUUUUAGCUAAUGAGGAGUACUAAAAAGUUGUUGCACUUUUGGGUGGCGAGAAUUCCUCAAUCAUAACUUUGACAUAAUUUUAAUCCAGAUCACAUAUAUAGCAUCAUAUCUUAAUUAUUAAAUUAAUAUGGUUCCAUCAUCGUAUUAUUAAUUCAAUCUGAUAUAACCAUCAAAUCUUAAUUAUUAAAUUAAUCUGGAGCAUACAUUAGAUUAUCAAACCAAAUCAACCCGACAUAACCAUCGAAUGUUUCGCUAUGCGCCUUAAGCGCAUGGUCUCAGGCUUAAUCAUCCGGAAUAACCAUUCGAUCUUCUGGUAAGCAUAGUAAGCGUAUGGUUCAUGGCUUCGUCAUCCGGAAUAACCAUCAUAUUUUCCGGUAUGCACUGAAAGCAAAUGAUCCGGGGUUUUGGUAGGUGAAACGUUGUUAGGUGAAUGCGGAUCCUGGCUGCUGUUGCACGUGUGAACUGCUGUGUGGAAGCUGCUGGGUCCUCCUCUAUUUUGCGUGGUUUGUGGCAGGCUUGGAAUUCUCUCAUGGCUUCGGUGCUUGGAACUGCUCGUACGUCCGGUCCUGCGUGCAUCUCUCUCUCUCUCCUGGCUGGAGGUGUGGUGGUCUGGCGGCUUGUCUGUGUUUUUCUUUUUACGACGGCUUCUCGUGUUGGCUAGGGUUGGCGUCAGGGGCCCGGUCAGCUAUGCUCCCUCUGCUUUUAUAGGCAGUGCACCACAGCAGGCAGAGCAGAGAUAAAGAUUCCAACUGCAUCCAUCUACAAACAAGGCUCUCGGUGGAAGGGAUAAAAGCAUGCAUCGCAAUUGCCGCUGCCCUGCUUUAGCCUUGAGUCUCGUCAAUUGGAUGACCAAAAGAUGUCACCGUCUAAGCUCUUUUCUUUGUGCAGCUGCCUGUUUGUCACCAACACAAAAUUGUAGGUGCAUGUUUGACACCAAUUAUCCUCUACCACAAAGAACUACAAUAGUGAUGGAGGAUCUGAUCCGGCACUGAUCCACUAUAAUGCAUAGUGGGUGAUGCAUGUCUAAUGGUGGUUGUUUAGUGUUAGUUUGGGCAUGUUGGAACUAAGCAAUUGUCGAUGCCAUACACUAGAUGUGAAGAAUGUUGUUAGCGUUAGGAGUAGAGGUGUCAAUGGGGACCGAUACCCGUUAAGCCAUGGAGAAUUUCUCUAUUAGAUUUAGGGUAUGGGAAAUUUUUUAUUUCCAUUUGCUGAAGUUAGGUAUACAUCUAUUUGAAUCAAUAGUUACAGUUCAACAGAAACUCCUUCCGCUCUAGUUUGUUUCAUGUCCUACCUUUUUCCUAAACUAGUGUUUCCUAAAUUGACAUACUCUCUAGAAAAUCUAUCCAAAUUUUGAAGAUCAAAUAUGUUCCAUUGAAUUAUUCAUGACAUAUAUCUUGGUAUUGCUUUUUGUCAUCAGAAUAUAUUUUGAACUCAGUAAAAGUUAUACACGAUUUUUUUAGACAAUACUAAAGCAAGUUGUAUCAAGAACACUGGAGGUGUGCGCCAAUUGCCACAUUUAGAUAUAAUCAUUCUAAUUUUGGUCAUCCUAUGUGUGUGCAUUCAUCUAUGCAUUCUAGGAUUUCAAUUAGUCUCAAUCUUGUAGUAUUUGUUCCUUCAUUGUCAAAUCACUUCUCAUCUAACUACUAUGCUUGUUUAACCAUCAGAACAUAACUACAACAAUAUCCAUUUAUAAAGGUUUUGAUAGCAAACUUUACAUAUUCAUAUCAUGUUAAGGUUGUCACAUGUGUAAAGGUGAAGAGAUCAUGCAUGUCAUUCCACGUAGAUGAAAAGAAUUCCUAUAUAAAAUGACACCUUUUCUUGUAGGUAGUGGAAAGUAUCUUUCCAGCAAAGACCAUAUAAUCCGAUAAAGUUGAUAACUAAAUGUCAAAAUAGAGUAGAUGCCAUAUCAUAUAUACCUUAUCUGUUGUUUGGAAAAAAAAGACUAAAUCCCAAAAAUAUAUAUGAGAUCUCACUUGUAUAAAUAGCUCCCAAAUUAGUAGUUAACCAUCACCCAUAAUAUUUUGAACAUUCAGAAACACACCUAGCGAAGCGCACUAGCAACGACCUAACAACAAUGGCUACCAAGAUAUUAUCCCUCCUUGCGCUUCUUGCCCUUUUUGUGAGCGCAACAAAUGCGUUCAUUAUUCCACAAUAUUAGUUAUACUCUUAAUGUCACGAUGUAUAUGUUUGAUUAAAUUGUUUAAUAGAUAUAAUCAAAGAUAAAUAACUUGCAUGGCUCCGUAGGAUAUUAUGUGUAUCUUGUUCAUGAUCACUAAUGGUCCUCAUAGGCACCAUUUGAUUUGCUGCUCCCAUUGUCUCAAUUUCCAUUGUAUUGUCAUCGUUGACCCCCGACGCUCGAAAUUCUGCAGGUGGUGUUACAAUAUGUCUCCGUGGACUCGUAGCACAGUUUGGAGAUUUAAGUCUUAGGGUGAGCGCUGUUGGUAGACCACUGUAUGUGUCUGCACGACGGCCACCAUAUUUGACUUUUUAUUUUAUAAACCGAUGUAUUUAUACAAAUAUUAAUGUACCUGAUGCAGCUCUGUGCAUGAUGCAGAAGAAACAUCACCAGUUUCUUCUUCUCCACCGUCAACCAUGGGUCAACAAUGCAGCGACGCCGCCAGUUCCCUUUCUUAUAUGCACCGCUCUGUCUAGUCUCGGGUAGCCAUGUUUACGCUAUUUUUUGUGGUCAUUUACGGUCUAUAAAGUUUGUUCCUGCAUGCAUGGAGAUAUUAUCGGAGACGUGACAACUACCCGAUAGAUUUUAUCUCGGUUUGUUGAAACAAUUUUGUAUUUACUCAACUAAAUGAAACCAGUUACGCAAUUUUCUGUAUAUAUUUAUGCCUGAGUUUCUGCUUACGUGCAUGCCAUGCAAUAUUCUCGGGAACUACCAAUUAUGGUUUGUGAUUUUAUCGCGUAUUCCGUUUAUGCUAAUAUUCAAACACGUUUACAUUUUGUUUGUUAAUGUUUAUGCUUUGGUUCGACCAACCAGAAAACCGCACAGAGAAACUUGGGCGCUGCCCGGAUCGAACAAAUUGGCUGGGGCUUCCCGAUACUAAUGGAAGCCCUAGGCUUCCAUUAGUUCGUCCAUAUAUAUAUAUAUAUAUAUAUAUAUAUAUAUAUAUAUAUAUAUAUAUAUAUAUAUAUAUAUAUAUAUAUAUAUAUAUAUAUAGUUUAUCUAUUUGGAGCCCUGGGCUUCCAAAAAAACAAGGAAGCCCUGAUCCAAAAAGUCUAUUCCGGUUCAGUGCAACCACAACCGGCCAACCCAACCACAAUCCCCCACGCUUGCGCGUACAUUUCAUUUUUUCCAUCAAUUCAGCCGAAACCGCCACCUUAAAUUAGGAUAUAUUAUUUUCCCCCAAAACAAACCCUAACCGGUCGGCCCAAUUCUCACGCGCUCGCCACAGAUCUAGCCCUGCCUACAGCGCUCUCGCUGCUGCACGUCCCGUUCACGUCGUCGUCCGCCCCUGGCCCUUGCCUCACCGACUCGUGGCCGUCGGCAGCUCCACGUGGGACACGGCCACGCCUGACGCCUCCACCUCCACGACUCAGCUGACGGCUCCUCUCCAUGGGACGGUGCAUGACGACGCCAUGGCGGUUCACCGGCUCCAACCUUCCCCCUCCGGCCUACAGUCCUCCACCGUCCGGUCGCCAGUGGUCCUCCAUGGGCCAUGGCUGACGGGUGCACGCACCGGUAUUCAUCCCUUGCUGCUCUAUUCCCAAUGCUCUAGCUCGUGUACUAGUUGUGCAGCCUGUCGCCUAGCCCUGCUCCGGCGUGAAGUCCUGAUGCUUCUAGUUGUUUUUGUCUUAAAUAAAGAUGCUAGUAUGCAUGUGGCUAUGUGAGGUCUAUUGCAUCCGAUUUAGUGCUGCACAUUUAAGUAAUCUUGAUGAUUGAUUCAAGCAAUUUUUUACUUGGCCUUUAUAUUCUAGAUUAUUGUAACCGGUUGAAACUAAGAGAUACAUGAUGAUUUUCUAAAUCAUAAAUAUAUUUAUAUUGCAUAAUCUUCUACCUAAGGCCUUAGUGCCUAUCCUUAACAAAUAUUUUUUUAUACUUGAUUCUACUGUGUAGGUAUGACAGGUCGUUCAACGAGCACCUCAUUAUCCAGAGUCUCACAAUUUAAAUUGUUUGAUUUCUAAAGUCCAAUUAUAUUUCUAGUCAGCAAUCACAUAUUAACUACACAAGCAAAGUGCAGAGAUAUAUUAUGUUCCUUUUUGAAACAAGUUAUUUCUUACAAUACCAUUUUCAUUGUGUUCUUUUCAUUGUAUUUUUCCUUCAUCUAUCAUGUCACGUUGUGGUUGUGGACCUGGCUAGCUUCAAUCAUGCUUUUCCUUUUUCAGUUUCGCCUUUUCCAGUGGUAAUACUUGACAGAGAAAUCCUGAACCAAGCGCAAACCUUCUGCAAGACCUGGUAACUUAUUUUAGGGGCUAGAAAUAGGCGACGACAGUUCAGGCCUUGUUUUUUACACCAAUCCAACCCUGGAUUAGCAAUGAUUUUUAUGCAGCUCUUGUUUGUUACGACUACUCAUGGCACCAUUUAUGCAUACAUCUGAACUAUUUAUGCUGUUGAUAUGUUUCUAGUGUGGCAAUGAUUUUUUUACAUAUAGAUGCUUACCAAAAGUUCAAAAUCUUUCCGGUCGGUAGCAGUAGAAGCAGCACACCCAAUUUGUCAUACACUCUGUAAUUUUUAUUUCCUAAAUAUGUCUUUUUAUGCUAAUUUGAAUACGCUAUUACGCCCAAUUACUAGAUCGCGCGUAUGCUCCAUUUUGUAAACACGUAGACCACCAAAUUGUACAUUUUUUAUGUUCUUUUUAUGCUUUUAUUCUGAGUUGAAUUGGUCCUCACAUGAUCAUGCAUCAAUACCCAAUGGUUCAGACUCAUCUAAUGCUUCUGCUUCCUUACAUGAACAUGCAUUAGCACAUCAGUCAUCUAGCGCUACUUACUAUAACAAGCACACAUUAUCCACCGAUAUGAUUCUUAUUCCUGCUAAUUUUAAUGUGUUAUUAUGCUCAAUUAUCAGAUCUCGUGUACGCUCCGCAUUGUAAACACGUAGACCAAUUCUCCUACAUUGUUUUUGUUCUUCCUUUUAUGCUUUUACGAUGAUUUGAAUUGGUCCUUUUCAGAACAAUGCACCCCCAGUACGUAGUCCACUCUAGAGCAGUAUACGACAGAUACGCCCAGUACCUCCAGUAAGUAUAUGCUCUUUAUUUUUGUGAUCUACUGCCCAAGUAUCCAGAAGGCAAACUAGAUUUUGAUGUCUGCAUAUUAAAAUUGCCGAUAUCAAAUAAAUCGUCCAUGAGUUGUCCUAGAGUUUCUAGUGUGAAGGAUAUGCAUUGAAUCAGUUUUAUAUGUUUUCGGAAUGAUGGACAAGGUACAACAUGAUAGGAGAAUUUUUUUACACCCUAGUUAUCUUGUUUUAAUUCACCCUUUUUGCGCUCCAAUUAUUUUGGUGAAUCUUAGCAUAGAACUUGACCUUAUAUUAUUUUGUAUGUUUGGUUUGCAUGGGAUAUAUUUAUGAACAUUGAUAUCGUUUUUAUGCUUACUGACAGAAUGCAUAUGGCCUGAAAAUGGAGAAUUGAGGUAUAAAAUAUCGGCUCUUCACUGUCAUAUGCAUUCAUUAGCUUUUUGGUGAUUGGCUCAAUUUAAUGGUUGGUGCACUCAUGCAAUUUUGAACUAAAACAACAACUUGUUUGCACUAUCCAUGCAUAUUGAUAUUGCUAUUGUAGCAACUGCUAUAAAUAACUGUGGCACCAUUUAUGCAUACACUCCACUAUAUAUGUGUUUUGAUUUGUUAUGAUCAGAAAUUCCAUUAUUAACGACUGAAUUUUGGUGUGCUGAUGCUAUAACCUGUGACAUCCAGCUAUUUUCUUGAUUUGUUACAUCUUUUUGUCAAUCUUAAUCUUAUUUUAUUUGAUUUAUUGCAUCAUCCAUUUGAAUAUAGACAUAAAAACCAAGAGCUAAAAUGAAUACUAUUUCCAGUUCUAGGCGGCAUUAUAAAUUCUAUUUUUUUCUUAUAAUGAUGUGAAUCUUGAUGGUUUAAUACUAUUGUUUUAGGACAAUUAUUAUGGUUUCAUACUAUUUCCAGUUCUUUAGUCAUGGAUUUUUUUUCAGAAGUUGAUGAACUCUACCUUCGCAGGAUCUAGUUCCUUGAAUCUUACUGUCUUUUGAGUUUGAGCAUAUACUGAUGUGGAGAGGAAGUGAUUGGAAAUCAUCUCUUCCUCCAUUAGAAAAUAGUUAUGAAGUGACAAAGGUGCAAGAAAGUUUUAGUGGCAAAGAAUCUAAUGAAAAGGUUACACAUUCAGGAAAUGUUCUGAUCCAGAUUUAGUUGGUCAGUGUUGCAACAUCUCACAAGAACUGGAACUUGGAUGAAGGUCAAGAAAAAUUUAAAGAUUCCACUGACAGUGAUAUGGUACUGAAUUCUGCAAAGGAUGUUCCUGCAUUGUUCCAUUCUACAGGUAUAUCUAGAACUGAACCCUCAGCAGACAUUGCAUUGGAAUAUUCCCCAUUAAAUCCAGUAUGUGAUAUUAUGGAUCCAUCCCUGAACUGCCGAAGUAUCCCAACAAACAAAUGUGAAAGUAGAGCUCUGGUAGAGAAGUCAGAACAUUGUCCGAAUGAUUAUAAUUUGGAAAUGAAGGGGAAAAGAAACGAUGGUACAAAAUGUACAGUUGUUCUAAAUAGCGGUUCUAAAGUAGAGGGAUUGUUAUGUCUUUUGGAGCAAGCCAUUCACAGUGGCAGGGCACUUGUUCUGAGUGAAGAUGAACUUGCUGAUUCAGAUCUGGUCUAUGAAAAGUCUGUUGCUUUUAGAAAGUCAAUUCUGCGAAGACUGGUUUUUGAGAAUACUCGAAGGAAGUCCAGUGCCAGGAGAAAUGUGCCAGACAAUCAUGCAAGAACUAAAACACAUAUUAUAGCAAAUAAAAUGUUGAGCAGUCCUGUUGAAAAUAAAUUUAUCGUUAAUGGAGGAUCUGCAAUGCAGACAAUUGACCAUGGACAAGAGUGUCUUUCUGGUGUUGUUCAUCAAGGUACCUUAAGAGUAGAUGAACUAGCAAAGUUACUAGCUUGAGAGGUGAUUGCUCUUUUAUCAACCACAUAGACCAGUAUCAACAUCCUUUGAAACAUAUGCAAGAUUUGCAUGAACUCUGAAUUUGGUUAAAACAAGUCUCAGGUCUGUUGCGUCGUGGCGAGUCCUUUUUAACCUUGAAAUAUUGAACUAUAAUCAUGUGCGAUGUACAAACAACCUUCCGAAUACAUAUUCUCUGAUUUGUCUGUUGUCACCAUAAUUGGCCACUGAUAAAUAACCCUUCUGUUUUAUGUGACAAAAAAUGGUCCACACGAUGCGUUUUACGUUCAAAAACUUCUACGCGACAUGCACGGAAACUAACGCUAAACAUGCGUGAUUUAAACGUCGUAAUUCGUUACGAAACAGAUCAACGAUUUAUGCUAAAAUUCACACCCAUUUACGCUAUUUUGGAUCAUAUUUUACGCAAAAAUCCGCCCGAGCCAGAACCCGCGCAUGAUCCGACGCGCGCGAUUUUUACGCCGUAAUUUUUGGGCCACAUUCGUCGUUAUGAAACUAAGUUACGAUUUACGCUAAAAUUUUUACCCAUUUACGUUGUUUUGGUUAACGUUUUACGCAAAAAUCCAUCCAAGCCAGAACCCGCGCAUGAUCGGACGCGCGCAAUUUUUACGCCGUAAUUUUUGGGCCCUAUUCGUCGUUACAAAACAGAUCUAUGAUUUACGCUAAAAUUCAUAACCAUUUACGCUGUUUUGGUUCACGUUUUACGCAAAAAUUCGCCCAAUCCAGAUUCCGCGCACGAUCGGAAGCGCGCGAUUUUUACACCGUAAUAUUUGGGCCCAUUCGUUGUUAUGAAAUAGAUCUACGAUUUACGCUAAAAUUCGUACUCAUUUACGCUGGUUUGGUUCACGUUUUACGCUAAAAUCUGCCUGAGACAGAACCGUGCACGAUCGGAUGCACGCCUACCUGCGCGUAGGUAUACCUGGCUGGGGCUUCUCGGUACUAAUGGAAGCCCUGGGCUUCCAUUAGCUCGUGUAUAUAUAUAUAUAUAUAUAUAUAUAUAUAUAUAUAUAUAUAUAUAUAUAUAUAUAUAUAUAUAUAUAUAUAUAUAUAUAUAUAUAUAUAUAUAUAUAUAUAUAUAUAUAUAUAUCAAACUUCAUUAGAUUUGUAUAUUUAUCACCUAAAUUGCAAAUGUAUAGUGUCGUUCCUUCUAUGUAUGGACUAAAUGGUGAAUUACAUACUUCUUUAACAUAUUUAAUUGAGGUUUUCUUGGCCCUGUUCAAAUGUUUUUAAACAGCCUACAAUACAGCGUUGACCUUUGUUUACCAUUUAAAUGCUGUUCAAACAGGUUAGAUAUAACGGUGGUUGCGACUGAAUGCCGAGGCAUGCAUUUCUACAAGGUGGUUUAUUAACUAGGGUCCACUCCUUCAUAUGUACCCACAUAUAUACAAGGUGGUUUUUUAACGAUAGGAAUAACUACACCUGGGAGUAGGAAAAAUGCACCAUAUAUAUAUGUCAAACUUCAACUAUAUAUUAGAACCAUUUGAGACUUUCUGAUUGGUGUCCUUCGCAAAUAUAACCUCAUGGUAUGGCUUAUAUGACAGAACAUCCAUUAGAUGUGUGUGAAAGAGAGGACGCUACACCUGCUGAGUGAGGAUGCUGAUUGAAUUGCUGCUGCAUAUAUAUUGGUUUCGAUGAAUUGCCAUAAGCGGAUAUGUGGCCCAUGCACUCCUGUUGCACCAUUCAUGUGUCCAUCUGAUAAACCAUAUGCAGAUGAGUUGUCCAGCAUGUCUGAAUGUAUUCCAGAAUUAUUGUGGCCUAUGCUGAAUCUGAUUGCAAUUUUGGUUGCUAGAAAAUUGGAUCUGGAUCCGGAGCUGAAUCCUGGAGUUGGGAUCCUGUUGAUUACUGAAUCUGGAGCUGCACAUUCUGUUGAUUACUGAAUCCUGGAGUUGGGAUCAUGUCUCAUGUGAGCUGAACCAACUGAACCCGGCCCAUCGUAGAUUGUACGUUAUUUGUGGUAGAUUUUGUGGAAUGCCAGAAUUUAAAUGCUGGUAGCCAUUGGACCUGUGUGGAGGAAUUAAGAGUGGGUUACUAUAAAAACAAAAUGUUAUUCUUUUACAAUUUUUUGUUAAUACACAUGGCUCUGUUCCUGAUGCAGCAUUUCCUAUAUAUAGACUUGAUGAAACAUUUCCUGAUGAAGCUUUCUUUUUCUUAACAGGUCAGUGGAGGUGACGUUUAGUACGAAAUGAGGACACAUGUCACUUAUCUGCUGCGAAUACUGCCGUCGGACAAAAAAACUUAUAACUUUUUGUGCAAUCAGCAAUUACUAAUAUGCUGCUCGCGAUGAAUGAUGUGUGUAUGCUACUUUUGGACCUGUGGUAUCUAAGGCUGCCAACCAUAAUGUUUUGGCAAACACAAAUCCGUGUGGCUAAACAAAAAUCUUGAUGCAUGUUGUAUGAUCCAGCUAACAUCAAUGCCGCUUUAUUGUAAAUGUUUAUGUUUUUACUAUAUGACUUACUAUAUGUGUUGAUUAUAUUGCAAAUAUUUUUAUCUCCUCCCAUUCUCGGCGCCUCCUGUUCUAGUUUGUACAUAAUGAAGGGUAGACUCACAGCAUAGCUGGUGCAAGGGAAAAAAUGUUGCAUAAAAUAUGUCAUUUCCAUUUUUUGAGGAAACAUGUCAACAUUGACAUUUGCUGAAGUUAGGUAUACAUCUAUUUGAAUCAACAGUUACAGUUCAACAUAUACUCCUUCCGCUCUAGCUUGUUGCGUGUCCUACUUUUUUUCUAAAUCACUUUUCUCUAAAUUGACAUACUCCCUAGAAAAUCUAUCCAAAUUUUGAAGAUCAAAUUUGUUCCAUUGAAUUAUUCAUGACAUCUAUCUUGGUAUUGCUUUUUAAUAAUCAGAAUAUAUUUUGAUCUCAACAAAAGUUAUACACGAUUCUUUUUAGACAAUACUAAAGCAAAUUGUAAUCAAGAACACUUGAGGUUCGCACCAAUUGCCACAUUUAGAUAUAAGCAUUCUAAUUUUGGUCAUCCUAUGUGUGUGCAUUCAUCUAAGCAUUCUAGGAUUUCAAUUAGUCUAUAUCUUGUAGUAUUUGUUCCUUCAUUGUCAAUUCACUUCUCAUCUAACUACUAUGAUUGUUUAACCAGUAGAACAUAACUACGACAAUAUCCAUUUAUAAAGACUUUGAUAGCAAACUUUACAUAUUCAUAUCAUGUUAAGGUUGUCACAUGUGUAAAGGUGAAGAGAUCAUGCAUGUCAUUCCACGUAGAUGAAAAAAUUCCUAUAUAAAAAUGACACCUUUUCUUGUAGGUAGUGGAAAGUACCUUUCCAGCAAAGAUCAUAUAUAUAAUCCGAUAAAGCUGAAAACUAAAUGUCGAAAUCGAGUAGAUGCCAUAUCAUCUAUACCUUAUCUCUUGUUUGGAAAAAAGACAAAACCAAAAAAUAUUUAUGAGGUCUCACUUGUAUAAAUAGCUCCCAAAUCAGUAGUUAAUCCAUCACCUAUAAUAUUUUGAGCAUUCAGAAACACACCAAGCGAAGCACAUUAGCAACAACCUAACAACAAUGGCUACCAAGAUAUUAUCCCUCCUUGCGCUUCUUGCGCUUUUUGCGAGCGCAACAAAUGCGUUCAUUAUUCCACAAUGCUCACUUGCUCCAAGUUCCAUUAUUACACAGUUCCUCCCACCAGUUACUUCAAUGGGCUUCGAACACCCAGCUGUGCAAGCCUAUAGGCUACAACAAGCAAUUGCGGCGAGCGUCUUACAACAACCAAUUUCCCAGUUGCAACAACAAUCCUUGGCACAUCUAACAAUACAAACCAUCGCAACGCAACAGCAACAACAAUUCCUACCAGCACUGAGCCACCUAGCCAUGGUGAACCCUGCCGCCUACUUGCAACAGCAGUUGCUUGCAUCAAACCCACUUGCUCUGGCAAACGUAGUUGCAAACCAGCCACAACAACAGCUGCAACAGUUUCUGCCAGCGCUCAGUCAACUAGCCAUGGUGAACCCUGCCGCCUACCUACAACAGCAACAACUGCUUUCAUCUAGCCCGCUCGCUGUGGCCAAUGCACCUACAUACCUGCAACAACAAUUGUUGCAACAGAUUGUACCAGCUCUGACUCAGCUAGUUGUGGCAAACCCUGCUGCCUACUUGCAACAGCUGCUUCCAUUCAACCAACUGACUAUGUCGAACUCUGCUGCGUACCUACAACAGCGACAACAGUUACUUAAUCCACUAGCAGUGGCUAACCCAUUGGUCGCUGCCUUCCUACAGCAGCAACAAUUGCUGCCAUACAACCAGUUCUCUUUGAUAAACCCUGUCUUGUCGAGGCAGCAACCCAUCGUUGGAGGUGCCAUCUUUUAGAUUACAUAUGAGAUGUACUCGAUAAUGGUGCCCUCAUUCCGGCAUGUGUUUCCUAGAAAUAAUCAAUAUAUUGAUUGAGAUUUAUCUCAAUAUAUUUCUGAACUAUGUUCAUCAUAUAAAUAAUUGAAAACAUCAAAUCGUAAUUAUAAACUCAUGCUUGGUCAAUACAUAGACAAUGCGAUAUUACUUCAACAUCCCAAUGAUGUCCUAGCCCAACCUCUUGAAUGUUACUGUUUUAAUGUGUGAGGGUAUAUUUAUAAGAUAGACGUGACUACUCGCGCUUUUUUUAGUACAUACAUAUAUGGUAUGUUGAUUUGAUUAGUGAUGGACACAUGCUUUGACCAUGAAUAUUCAAAUGAGGUGUAUUUGCACGAAGCAAAACAUAAUAUAAGUUUAGGAGUAGACUUAUAACUGUGUCCAAACAUGCUCACACAAAUUCAUACCACAUUAUAAUUUUUUGGUAAAUAUUCCACACGUAUUUUUUACAAGAACCCAAAUUUUGCAGAUAAAUGCAGCAUUGUAGACAUGUAUAAUUCUUUGAAGCCCCUGAACUUAACAGCACCAAGGUCAUUAAAUCAACUGGACCCUAUGAGUAACAAUUUCAAUAUUGCAAACACCAAAUUAUAGAACUUAUUGGCUGAAAAAUUAUGAGCAAUGUGAAGUUUAAAUUAUUAUACCAUAAAUAUAUCAAAGAAUUUUUUUUGAGGAACGUAAAAAUUGCAUGGAAUGGGCUGCCCAACGUGCUAGCUCACUUCUAUGCUAGGUAUCAUUACCAAAGAUGGGAAUGUUGCUAAUGAACGCCAAACCCACUCAUAUAAUAUUUAUAUUUGGGUUGUUUAGUUGUAAAAGUGAAGACCCAAGAUAAAAGUACCAAUUGUUCAAUGACAUUCGAUUAUUUUGUUCGGGGAGCACUUGGUGCGUCAUUUGGACUCAUAUCUUAGUCCAAUAGAUUGCAUUUUCCUUCAAUGUGUAGAAUCCGACAAAGUGCAUGUUCUAAAAUUGUAAAUCUAACUAAAUUAGAAAGCUUGUUACUAAUUUGAUGGUUUAUUAGGUGUACCUCAUAAAACUAGAACCAACAUAGCCUGCACUCACGUGUCAUAGAAAAUAGGAGUAUCCAAGCACAAUUUAUGUGAGCAUCCAUCACACAAAUUAUAUAUAGACUGAUAUAAUUAAUUCCUUCAAAAAUAAAAAAGGAAAAAAUAAAGUGUUUUUUUGAUAUUGCAGGAUAUCUCCUUUAACUAAUGAGGAGUACUAAAAAGAUGUUGCACUUUUGGGUGGCGAGAAUUCCUCAAUCAUAACUUUGACAUAAUUUUAAUCCGGAUCACAUAUAUCAUCAUAUCUUAAUUAUUAAAUUAAUAUGUGUCGGAGAGGGAAUUCUCCGGCCGGGUGGCGGAAUGCACCCGCCCUAAAUCCUAAGAUGAGGAAGGGGCUUAAGUGUUUUGCCUGUCUUGCUAAGCGAUCACCGAGCACACGAACACGCGAGGAUUUAGAGUGGUUCGGGCCGCCAGAGCGUAAUACCCUACUCCACUGUGUGUUGGAUUGCUGUGGAAGCUUGAGAGCUGAGAGUCUGAGUCCUUUGUCUGUGUUGCGUGCCCUCCCUUUUAUAGCUCAAGGGGGGCAUGUACAAGGACACUGAACCCCGACAUGUGGGCCUAGGGACAUAACAGAUGGAAUACUCGGAGCAACUAAUAUCAGUCACCUUGUGCAAUCAUCCUGUGCCCCGAUAUCCGCCGCUAGAGUAGCAUUGGCGUGCAGCAGAAGGUUCCCCGGCAUCGUACAAGUCAUGAUGGCCAUCGCACGCGCGCUGCGGUAUGGGCGUACUGCCCACUGUCUGAUUGGACAGGCACGUCGCCUGUAGAGUGGUCUGGUCGUCGCCUGUCAUCAGAGUGGACGGGGCACAUUAAAUGCCGAGACGGCACAUCGCCUGUCAGCAGGGCGGACAGGCGGCGCGUCCUCUCCGCAAUAAAUGUAGAGAUCACGUGGCUCAAAGGCCUUACGUCAGGCUCCACCCGCCGGCUUACGUCACGAGCAAUAGGCCGCGUGGCAGCAUUAGGUCCUCGCCUGAGCGGGGAGCGGAAGUACACCAGGCAAGACCCUGACAAGUGUCUACGCCGGACCCCUGUACGUCCUUGACUUAGGCCAGGGUAUUCUUCAUCCCGGGAUCUUGCUGUGGGUGGCUUGGACCUCACUUAGAGGGGUCCAGGUCCCAUCCAAGGGAACAUGGAGGUCCUGGGUCGUACCCGGAGGUCCGAGUCAUGUAUGCUGGGGUCCGACACUUUCCCAUGGGGGUCCGGAUUCACUGACGAUAUCACGGUAUGUGUUACCUUCUCUGGUCACUUGGCGGCCCCGGAGUCGCCCACGUGGUGGGGUCGGGCGUUGUUUACCGUGCGUCUAGAGAUAGACGUGCGGGUACCGCGCCUUCAUACUAUAGUAAGGGGUACUCCUGUUCCAGGGUAUCGACAAUAUGGUUCCAUCAUCGUAUUAUUAAUUCAAUCUAAUAUAACCAUCAGAUCUUAAUUAUUAAAUUAAUCUGGAGUGUACAUUAGAUUAUCAAACCAAAUCAACCCGACAUAACCAUCAAAUGUUCCGCUAUGCACCUUAAGCGCAUGGUCUAGGGAUUAAUCAUCCGGAAUAACCAUCCGAUCUUCUAGUAAGCAUAGUAAGUGUAUGGUUCACGACUUCAUCAUCCAGAAUAACCAUCAGAUUUUCCGGUGUGCACUGAAAGCAAAUGAUCCGCGGUUUUGGUAGGUGAAACGUUGUUAGGUGAAUGCGGAUGUUGGCUGUUGUUGCACGUGCGAACUGUUGUGUGGAAGCUGCUGGGUCCUCCUCUAUUGUGCGUGGCUUGUGGCGGGCUUGGACUACUCUCAUGGCUUCGGCGCUUGGAACUGCUCGUCUGUCCGGUCCUGCGUGCAUCUCUCUCUCCUGGCUGGAGGUGUGGUGGCCUGGCGGCUUCUCUGUGUUUUUCUUUUUAUGAUGACUUCUCGUGUUGGCUAGGGUUGGCGUUAGGGGCUCGGUCAGUUAUGCUCCCUCAGCUUUUAUAGGCAGCGCACCAUAGCAGGCAGAGCAGAGAUAAAGAUUCCAAUUGCAUCCAUCUACAAACAAGGCUCUCGGCGGAAGGGAUAAAAGCAUGCAUCGCAAUUACUGCUGCUCUGCUGCAACCUUGGCUCUCGUCAAUUGGAUGACCAAAAGAUGCCAACGUCUAAGAUCUUUUCUUUGUGCAGCUGCCUGUUUGUCACCAACACAAAAUUGUAGGUGCCUGUUUGUCACCAAUUAUCCUCUACCACAAAGAACUACAAUAGUGAUGGAGGAUCCGAUCCAGCACAGAUCCACUAUAAUGCAUAGUGGGUGAUGCAUGCCUAAUGGUGGUUGUUUAGUGUUAGUUUGGGCAUGUUGGAACUAAGCAAUUGUCGAUGCCAUACACUAGAAGUGAAGAAUGUUGUUAGCGUUAGGAGUAGAGGUGUCAAUGGGGACCGAUACCCGUUAAGCCAUGGAGAAUUUCUCUAUUAGAUUUAGGGUAUGGGAAGAUUUUAAUUUCCAUUUGCUGAAGUUAGGUAUACAUCUAUUUGAAUCAACAGUUACAGUUCAACAGAAACUCCUUCCGCUAUAGUUUGUUGCAUGUCCUACCUUUUUCCUAAACUAUUUUCCCUAAAUUGACAUACUCUCUAGAAAAUCUAUCCAAAUUUUGAAGAUCAAAUCUGUUCCAUUGAACUAUUCAUGACAUAUAUCUUGGUAUUGCUUUUUGUCAUCAGAAUAUAUUUUGAACUCAGUAAAAGUUAUACACGAUUUUUUUAGACAAUACUAAAGCAAGUUGUAAUCAAGAACACUUGAGGUGUGCGCCAAUUGCCACAUUUAGAUAUAAUCAUUAUAAUUUUGGUCAUCCUAUAUGUGUGCAUUCAUCUAUGCAUUCUAGGAUUUCAAUUAGUCUCAAUCUUGUAGUAUUUGUUCCUUCAUUGUCAAAUCACUUCUCAUCUAACUACUAUGCUUUUUUAACCAUCAGAACGUAACUCCAACAGUAUCCAUUUAUAAAGGUUUUGAUAGCAAACUUUACAUAUUCAUAUCAUGUUAAGGUUGUCACAUGUGUAAAGGUGAAGAGAUCAUGCAUGUCAUUCCACGUAGAUGAAAAGAAUUCCUAUAUAAAAUGACACCUUUUCUUGUAGGUAGUGGAAAGUAUCUUUCCAGCAAAGACCAUAUAAUCCAAUAAAGUUGAUAACUAAAUGUCGAAAUAGAGUAGAUGCCAUAUCAUUUAUACCUUAUCUGUUGUUUGGAAAAAAAGACUAAAUCCAAAAUAUAUAUGACAUCUCACUUGUAUAAAUAGCUCCCAAAUCAGCAGUUAACCAUCACCCAUAAUAUUUUGAACAUUUAGAAACACACACCUAGCGAAGCGCACUAGCAACGACCUAACAACAAUGGCUACCAAGAUAUUAGCCCUUCUUGCGCUUCUUGCCCUUUUUGUGAGCGCAACAAAUGCGUUCAUUAUUUCACAAUGCUCACUUGCUCCUAGUGCCAUUAUUCCACAAUUCCUCCCACCAGUUACUUCAAUGGGCUUCGAACACCCAGCUGUGCAUGCCUACAGGCUACAACAAGCGCUUGCGGCGAGCGUCUUACAACAACCAAUUGCCCAAUUACAGCAACAAUCCUUGGCACAUCUAACAAUACAAACCAUCGCAACGCAACAGCAACAACAGUUCCUACCAGCACUGAGCCACCUAGCCAUGGUGAACCCUGCCGCCUACUUGCAACAGCAACUGCUUGCAUCCAACCCACUUGCUCUGGCAAACGUAGUUGCACACCAGCAACAACAACAGCUGCAACAGUUUCUGCCAGCGCUCAGUCAACUAGCCAUGGUGAACCCUGCCGCCUACCUACAACAGCAACAACUGCUUUCAUCUACCCCGCUCGUUCUGGCCAAUGCACCUACAUACCUGCAACAACAAUUGUUGCAAUAGAAUCUACCAGCUCUGACUCAGCUAGCUAUGGCAAACCCUGCUGCCUACUUGCAACAGCUGCUUCCAUUCAACCAACUGAUUGUGUCGAACUCUGUUGCGUACCUACAACAACGACAAUAGUUACUUAAUCCACUAGCAGUGGCUACCCCAUUGGUCGCUGCCUUCCUACAGCAGCAACAAUUGCUGCCAUACAACCAGUUCUCUUUGAUGAACCCUGUCUUGUCGAGGCAGCAACCCAUCGUUGGAGGUGCCAUCUUUUAGAUUACAUAUGAGAUGUACUUGAUAAUGGCGCCCUCAUACCGGCAUGUGUUUCCUAGAAAUAAUCAAUAUAUUCAUUGAGAUUUAUCUCGA
rnacentral:lncRNA from 1 species